GCAGAGCCCUGACACUGCUUAUAAAGGCUGAUUAAGCAGGGAGGACAGAUGCACUGAAAAGAGCUUAGUCCUUAAAUUUGGGUCCCUCCCUCCAAAGCUUUGCUGCCUUUAAGGGAACUGUGGCCUCAAGAUCUCAAACAACAGUGCAAACAUGAAGAUCUUCUACCUUCUGUCCACCCUGCUUUUCAUGACCUAUUUGGUGGGUCCGGGAAUUGGAGAGGUUAGAUCCAAAGAUCAGUGUCAUAACUUCAGUGGUUUCUGCAUCUUCAAAGAAUGCAAUCCUGCAGAUGUACAUAUAGGAGUCUGUGAAAUGGGUGUUAAAUGCUGUGUAAGAGUUCCACCAUGGGUACCCAACAAUUUUGCAUCCCCUAUCACUGAUGGUGAGAGGUAAAAAAAUCACAUAACCCAGCUUUAGUACCAGCUUGCAUUAAUGGCAUUAAUGGCAGACUAUAGACCUUUUCUGACUCCUGAUUUUUAACUGCAAGAAAUGUUGGAGCAAUGACAUUUUU